rnacentral:rRNA from 1 species
AUGUACAUGCCUACAACGUUAAUGCACCGAAUCCCAUCGGAAUUCUGUAGUUAAGUGCACUUGAGAUACAGUAAUACUGGGAUGGGUGACCUCCGGGGAAGUCCUAGUGUUUUACAUG